AAUUAUUCACCAGUAUACUAUGAAAGACUCUCAGAAGAGAAAGCUCUGGUCACAGCUCAGAAGUGCACUUAGAAGUAAAUGGGCUGAAGGUAAUAACCUGUAAGAACCCAUCCGUCUUGGCCAUCCUAUCAAGUACUGAGCAUUCAAGAGAACUGUACAAUAAUUUGCAUUGGAGAAGCCAAGGAAGGCCUCAGGAAAGAAGCAGGAACUUGAAGAAUAGAAUAAUAACUAGAAUAGCGGAAGGAUCUCCCAGGUCCCCUCCCCUCACUGAGAGCUUCUUGGAUCCUGUCCUGGGAACUUUCUCCUCAUGCACUGCUUUAUCCUGAGUCUGUCUCCACUGCUCUGUGGAAACCUGCACAUUAACUUGCUUCCUAUGAAGAAAAUCUGUUGAAAUAAAAAAGAAAAUGGUUCUGAGCCCUAAAAGGAAG
rnacentral:lncRNA from 10 species